rfam:Mouse FISP-12 protein (fisp-12) gene, complete cds.
ACGGAGACAUGGCGUAAAGCCAGGAAGUAAGGGACACGAACUCAUUAGACUAUAACUUGAACUGAGUUGCAUCUCAUUUU